rnacentral:rRNA from 1 species
UGAAUUGCGUGAGCGAUGGAUCUCUUGGCUCCUUGCAUCGUUGAAGGUCGCAGCGAAUUGCGAAAUACUGGUCGUGUGAAUUACAAGACACAUUGGCCCAUUUUGUGGCUGCGGAACACCUUACUUACUGAACGUCUAAAUCGUUCGCAGAUUAAUUUAUGUUCCUCUCUGAGGCUUCAUAAACUGCAGCGUGCUCGGUUGAGUGUGCAUUAUGUA